CCUACGGGCGGCUGCAGUGGGGAAUAUUGCACAAUGGGCGCAAGCCUGAUGCAGCCAUGCCGCGUGUGUGAAGAAGGCCUUCGGGUUGUAAAGCACUUUCAGCGGGGAGGAAGGCGGUGAGGUUAAUAACCUCAUCGAUUGACGUUACCCGCAGAAGAAGCACCGGCUAACUCCGUGCCAGCAGCCGCGGUAAUACGGAGGGUGCAAGCGUUAAUCGGAAUUACUGGGCGUAAAGCGCACGCAGGCGGUCUGUCAAGUCGGAUGUGAAAUCCCCGGGCUCAACCUGGGAACUGCAUUCGAAACUGGCAUGCUAGAGUCUUGUAGAGGGGGGGAGAAUUCCAGGUGUAGCGGUGAAAUGCGUAGAGAUCUGGAGGAAUACCGGUGGCGCAGGCGGCCCCCUGGACAAAGACUGACGCUCAGGUGCGAAAGCGUGGGGAGCAAACAGGAUUAGAUACCCCAGUAGUC
rnacentral:rRNA from 1 species